GAUUUCAAUUGAAAAAGUCAUCAACAACAAAGAUGUAUAACUCAUCAAGAUCUAUAACUUUUAUUUUGGUCAUUUCUUCAUUCGAUAAAAUGAUAGUAACAUUGUUCACAAAAUUCUCAUAUUUCUCAUCUGCACAAAAUUGACAUAUAUGUGUUAUAGUUUAUAAGCAGAUGAGAAAUAUGAGAAUUUUGUGAACAAUGUUACUAUCAUUUUAUCGAAUGAAGAAAUGACCAAAAUAAAAGUUAUAGAUCUUGAUAAGUUAUAAAACUUUGUUGUUGAUGAAUUUUUUUAGUUGAAAUC
rnacentral:pre_miRNA from 1 species